UACGAAGGGGGCUAGCGUUGCUCGGAAUCACUGGGCGUAAAGCGCACGUAGGCGGAUUGCUAAGUCAGGGGUGAAAUCCUGGAGCUCAACUCCAGAACUGCCUUCGAUACUGGAGAGCUCGAGUCCGGGAGAGGUGGGUGGAACUGCGAGUGUAGAGGUGAAAUUCGUAGAUAUUCGCAAGAACACCAGUGGCGAAGGCGGCUCACUGGCCCGGUACUGACGCUGAGGUGCGAAAGCGUGGGGAGCAAACAGG
rnacentral:rRNA from 1 species